GAAGACCGAGGAGGCGGGGCAGGCGGGCGCCGUUGCUUAGCUAGUUUGUCCGGAGCUGUGCUUGGGAACCUGGGGUUGCGGAUUCACUCUUCCUGAUGAUCCCCACUGGCAGGGGCUGGGCGGGGAACGAGAGCCGAGAGCCGCGGCACCUCGCUGGCACCUUCCAGGCUGCCUACUGAGGCCUUGAGCUGGGCCCCAUCUCGCGCUCCACUGCGUCCUCGCGCACCCCUAGCGCCCAUAGCCGACCCCUGUCCUGCCCAGAGGGUCCAGGUCCCAUCUGUCCCCGUCCCCACGGCGGCCACAAGGCCCCAUCGCCUCUAGCCGCCACUGUGGUCCGUGGAGGUGGUUGGUUACCAUGGUGAAGCUGGCAGCCAAAUGCAUUCUGGCAGGAGACCCCGCGGUGGGCAAGACCGCCCUGGCGCACAUCUUCCGCAGCGACGGGGCCCACUUCCAGAAGAGCUACACCCUGACCACGGGGGUGGACCUGGUGGUGAAGACGGUGCCGGUUCCCGACACGGGGGACAGCGUGGAGCUCUUCAUUUUUGACUCUGCCGGCAAGGAGCUGUUUUCUGAGAUGCUGGAUAAGUUGUGGGAGGGCCCCGACGUCCUGUGUCUCGUGUACGACGUGACCAACGAGCAGUCCUUCGGCAGCUGCGGCAAGUGGCUGGAGAAGGCGCAGGUGCAGGUUCCCGGCGCCUCCCUCCCAGGUGUGCUGGUGGGCAACAAGACGGACCUGGCCAGCAGACGGGUGGUGCAGUCGGCACAGGCCCGCGCCUGGGCCCUGGGCCAAGGCCUGGAGUGCUUUGAAACAUCGGUGAUGUGGUUCCUGGCCCUCUGUCCUUGCUGGGACCCAGCGCCCCCUGCAGACUGUCCCUGCAGAGUCCCGCUAGGAGCGCUCCAGCCUGGGAGGGCCAGGGCAGGGCAGCUGCAGCCUCAGUGGACAGAGGAGCAAUGCUGCUGUCCCAGUGAACCCGCUCCCGGCGCGGACACCGAAUAGCCAGCCUCCGUCACCCCUCGGUUCUUCCCUAAGCCUCCAGCCUUGGGCUUUCUCGUGGGACCUCCCGCUGAGCUAGAGAAGGAGAUGGAGAACUGGGAAGCACCCUUCCAGCAUCUGGCCCGGCAGUUCCACCAGCUGUACCGGGAGAAGGUGGAGAUCUUCGGCGCGCUCGUGUGAGGGGCUGCGUGCUGCUGGCGACC